rnacentral:tRNA from 1 species
CGGGGCGUAGCGCAGUCCGGUUAGCGCACCUGGUUUGGGACCAGGGGGUCGCAGGUUCGAAUCCUGCCGCCCGA